UGAUCAUUUUCUAGAAAUAACGUUGCAACGACCAAAUUUUACAAAAUUGCUCAAGUCCGAUAUCUUAAAUUUUCCACGUCCAGUGCCUGAUUGCAGCAUAGGCAAACAUGUACAAGUUCAUUAUUAGCAGCUGUUACAGCGACCACAGCCGAGCGAGUCGUAUCGAAGUGCUGCCUUCUUCACGUUCGGCUUCAAUAAAUUCAACAUGGACGGGCUAGUACUGAUGACCUGCAAAUGCACCUCUUGCCUAGUUGAUACGUAGUCGUCAACAUGAAUUUGUCGGUCAUAAAGGAACAGUGGGAAAAUGCCAGGUGCCGUUGACAGUGGAGAGUUGCGAAUAUAAGUGAAAAGGUUUGACAUAUAAAACGACAGUGUCGUAAUCUCCGUCUCUGGGACAUAAAGAAAUCGGACUUAUUCCGAAGGACGCGAGCUGAAACAGUGCACGAAACGGCUGAUGGACAUGUUACAUGGGUUUACUCGUAUCGACUGAGUGCUACCAGCCGUUCCUCUCGUACCUCUGCAUUCAGACCGUAUUGAACAUUUUUCUAGACGUUGGAUGUCUGGAGAACCUUGGCGUAAGAUCAGAUCUGCUUCUCGUAUAAAGAAAAGGUUAGUUCGAUACAAGACAAGAUAGGCUUUCUUUAACGUAAGCGCAUAACCUGAAGGUCCUCUCCUUUUAUUGGCACCGUUAAUUUCUGCGCUGGUAGACGUAUGAUCAAACAGCAGCAGCUGCGGUAUCCCUUUCGAACCACGAACGCUUGUUGUUGCAUAAGCCACAGACCUUCCUAAAGAUUCGUCCAAGCCCACCAUCCCAUAGAGCGGACAAGAAAGCACAGAAAAACUUGAUCGCAGGCAGAAUCCACAACCCCUUGGCAUCAUCAACGAGAGGCUGAUUUUGUACCGGUGAGCAAUGAUAAAAAUCGUGAAGUCGUCCUUCGCCGCGAACAGAGCUAUAUAUAUAUAUACUGUAAUAAGGAAAAACGAGUCAUAGCUAUAGUGACUGGCAUAAUGGCUCUCACAUAUGUACAUACAAAUGUAGAUUACAGUGAGAUUAACGAAAGCAUA
rnacentral:lncRNA from 1 species